rnacentral:tRNA from 1 species
GGCUAGAUAGCAAAGUGGUUUUGCAAAAGAUUGCAAAUCUUUUUACAUAGGUUCAAAUCCUAUUCUAGCUU